rnacentral:rRNA from 1 species
UACAGAGGUCCCGAGCGUUGUUCGGAUUUAUUGGGCGUAAAGGGUGCGUAGGCGGUUUGACAAGUCUGAUGUGAAAUCUAUGGGCUCAACCCAUAGUCUGCAUCGGAAACUGUCGGGCUGGAGUAUGGGAGAGGUGAGUGGAAUUCCUGGUGUAGCGGUGAAAUGCGCAGAUAUCAGGAAGAACACCCGUGGUGAAAGCGGCUCUCUGGAACGGUACUGACGCUGAGACGCGAAAGCGUGGGGAGCGAACAGG